rnacentral:rRNA from 1 species
GAUGAACGCUAGCUACAGGCUUAACACAUGCAAGUCGAGGGGCAGCAUGAACUUAGCUUGCUAAGUUUGAUGGCGACCGGCGCACGGGUGAGUAACACGUAUCCAACCUUCCGUUUACUCAGGGAUAGCCUUUCGAAAGAAAGAUUAAUACCUGAUAGUAUGGUGAGAUUGCAUGAUAGCACCAUUAAAGAUUUAUUGGUAAACGAUGGGGAUGCGUUCCAUUAGGUAGUAGGCGGGGUAACGGCCCACCUAGCCUGCGAUGGAUAGGGGUUCUGAGAGGAAGGUCCCCCACAUUGGAACUGAGACACGGUCCAAAACUCCUACGGGAGGCAGCAGUGAGGAAUAUUGGUCAAUGGGCGAGAGCCUGAACCAGCCAAGUAGCGUGAAGGAUGAAGGUCCUACGGAUUGUAAACUUCUUUAUACGGGAAUAAAGUUUCCUACGUGUAGGAUUUUGUAUGUACCGUAUGAAUAAGCAUCGGCUAACUCCGUGCCAGCAGCCGCGGU